rnacentral:rRNA from 1 species
GGUUAAGUGACUAAGCGUACACGGUGGAUGCCUUGGCAGUCAGAGGCGAUGAAGGACGUAUUAACUUGCGAUAAGCCCAGAUUAGGCAGUAAAAGCCACUUGAGUCUGGGAUUUCCGAAUGGGGAAACCCACUUACAUAAGUAAGUAUCCUUAACUGAAUACAUAGGUUAAGGAGGCGAACCGGGGGAACUGAAACAUCUAAGUACCCCGAGGAAAAGAAAUCAACCGAGAUUCCGAAAGUAGCGGCGAGCGAAAUUGGACUAGCCCUUAAGCUUUUAAUGAUACAGGUGAAGGCUCUGGAAAGUGCCGCGAUACAGGGUGAUAGCCCCGUAACCGACAUGUCAUUUUAAGUGAAAUCGAGUAAGGCGGGACACGUGAUAUCCUGUCUGAAUAUGGGGGGACCAUCCUCCAAGGCUAAAUACUACUGACUGACCGAUAGUGAACCAGUACCGUGAGGGAAAGGCGAAAAGAACCCCUGUGAGGGGAGUGAAAUAGAACCUGAAACCGUGUACGUACAAGCAGUAGGAGCCUCCUUUGUGGGGUGACUGCGUACCUUUUGUAUAAUGGGUCAGCGACUUAUAUUCAGUGGCAAGGUUAACCAUUUAGGGGAGCCGUAGGGAAACCGAGUCUUAACUGGGCGUUUAGUCUCUGGAUAUAGACCCGAAACCAGGUGAUCUAGCCAUGGGCAGGUUGAAGGUUGAGUAACAUCAACUGGAGGACCGAACCGACUAAUGUUGAAAAAUUAGCGGAUGACUUGUGGCUAGGGGUGAAAGGCCAAUCAAACCUGGAGAUAGCUGGUUCUCCCCGAAAGCUAUUUAGGUAGCGCCUCGGACGAAUACUACUGGGGGUAGAGCACUGUUAAGGCUAGGGGGUCAUCCCGACUUACCAACCCUUUGCAAACUCCGAAUACCAGUAAGUACUAUCCGGGAGACACACGGCGGGUGCUAACGUCCGUCGUGGAGAGGGAAACAACCCAGACCGCCAGCUAAGGUCCCAAAUUAUAGCUAAGUGGGAAACGAUGUGGGAAGGCUAAAACAGCUAGGAUGUUGGCUUAGAAGCAGCCAUCAUUUAAAGAAAGCGUAAUAGCUCACUAGUCGAGUCGGCCUGCGCGGAAGAUGUAACGGGGCUAAGCUAUAAACCGAAGCUGCGGCUGCAUACUUUGUAUGCGGGGUAGGGGAGCGUUCUGUAAGCCGUUGAAGGUGUAUCGUAAGGUAUGCUGGAGGUAUCAGAAGUGCGAAUGCUGACAUGAGUAACGAUAAUGGGGGUGAAAAACCUCCACGCCGGAAGACCAAGGGUUCCUGUCCAACGUUAAUCGGGGCAGGGUAAGUCGACCCCUAAGGCGAGGCUGAAAAGCGUAGUCGAUGGGAAACGGGUUAAUAUUCCCGUACUUCUUACAAUUGCGAUGGGGGGACGGAGAAGGCUAGGUGGGCCUGGCGACGGUUGUCCAGGUUCAAGUGCGUAGGCUUGAGAGUUAGGUAAAUCCGGCUCUCUUUAAGGCUGAGACACGACGUCGAGCUGCUACGGCAGUGAAGUCAUUGAUGCCAUGCUUCCAGGAAAAGCCUCUAAGCUUCAGAUUGUAAGGAAUCGUACCCCAAACCGACACAGGUGGUCGGGUAGAGAAUACCAAGGCGCUUGAGAGAACUCGGGUGAAGGAACUAGGCAAAAUGGUACCGUAACUUCGGGAGAAGGUACGCUCUUAACGGUGAAGUCCCUUGCGGAUGGAGCUAUUGAGAGUCGCAGAUACCAGGUGGCUGCAACUGUUUAUUAAAAACACAGCACUGUGCAAAAUCGUAAGAUGACGUAUACGGUGUGACGCCUGCCCGGUGCCGGAAGGUUAAUUGAUGGGGUUAGACUUAGGUCGAAGCUCUUGAUCGAAGCCCCGGUAAACGGCGGCCGUAACUAUAACGGUCCUAAGGUAGCGAAAUUCCUUGUCGGGUAAGUUCCGACCUGCACGAAUGGCGUAAUGAUGGCCACGCUGUCUCCACCCGAGACUCAGUGAAAUUGAAAUCGCUGUGAAGAUGCAGUGUACCCGCGGCUAGACGGAAAGACCCCGUGAACCUUUACUACAGCUUGGCACUGAACAUUGAGCCUACAUGUGUAGGAUAGGUGGGAGGCUUUGAACCCGUGUCGCCAGAUACGGUGGAGCCAUCCUUGAAAUACCACCCUUGUAUGUUUGAUGUUCUAACUUAGCCCCAUUAUCUGGGGUGAGGACAGUGCCUGGUGGGUAGUUUGACUGGGGCGGUCUCCUCCCAAAGAGUAACGGAGGAGCACGAAGGUGGGCUAAUCACGGUUGGACAUCGUGAGGUUAGUGCAAUGGCAUAAGCCCGCUUGACUGCGAGAAUGACAAUUCGAGCAGGUGCGAAAGCAGGUCAUAGUGAUCCGGUGGUUCUGAAUGGAAGGGCCAUCGCUCAACGGAUAAAAGGUACUCCGGGGAUAACAGGCUGAUACCGCCCAAGAGUUCAUAUCGACGGCGGUGUUUGGCACCUCGAUGUCGGCUCAUCACAUCCUGGGGCUGAAGUCGGUCCCAAGGGUAUGGCUGUUCGCCAUUUAAAGUGGUACGCGAGCUGGGUUUAGAACGUCGUGAGACAGUUCGGUCCCUAUCUGCCGUGGGCGUUGGAGAAUUGAAAGGGGCUGCUCCUAGUACGAGAGGACCGGAGUGGACGAACCUCUGGUGUUCGGGUUGUCAUGCCAAUGGCAUUGCCCGGUAGCUAAGUUCGGAAUCGAUAACCGCUGAAAGCAUCUAAGCGGGAAGCGAGCCUUGAGAUGAGUUCUCCCUGGCAGUUUAACUGUCCUAAAGGGUUGUCGUAGACUACGACGUUGAUAGGCAGGGUGUGUAAGCGUUGUGAGGCGUUGAGCUAACCUGUACUAAUUGCCCGUGAGGCUUAACCAU